rnacentral:rRNA from 1 species
GUUAUGAUUUAAAGUCUGGCCUGCCCAAUGAUUUUUUAAAUGGCUGCAGUAUUUUGACUGUACAAAGGUAGCAUAAUCAUUAGUUUCUUAAUUAGAAGCUGGAAUGAAUGGUUUGAUGAGAAAUUAACUGUCUCAGUUUAAUUGUUUAGAAAUUUAUUUUUAAGUUAAAAAGCUUAAAUUUUUUAGAAAGACGAGAAGACCCUAUAGAGUUUAAUAUGUUGUUGGUUAUUAAUUUGAUGUUUUUAGUAUUUAUAAUUUUUUAACGUAUUUUGUUGGGGUGAUGAGAAAAUUUUUUUAACUUUUCUUUAUUUUUACACUUUUUAGUGAAUAUAUGAUCCUUUGUUUGGAUUGUUAGAUUAAAUUACCUUAGGGAUAACAGCGUAAUUUUUUUUGAAAGUUCUUAUUGAUAAAAAAGUUUGCGACCUCGAUGUUGGAUUAAAGUUUAUUUUUGGUGAAGAAGCUGGGAAAUUUAAGUCUGUUCGACUUUUAAAACUUUACGUGAUCUGAGUUCAGACCGG